rnacentral:rRNA from 1 species
CCAGGUAGAUCCUGCCAGUAGUCAUAUGCUUGUCUCAAAGAUUAAGCCAUGCAUGUCUCAGUGCAAGCCAAAUUAAGGUGAAAUCGCGGAUGGCUCAUUGAAUCCGUUACGGUUUCUCAGAUCGUACACACAUUUACCUGGAUAACUGUGGUAAUUCUAGAGCUAAUACAUGCAAACAGAGUUCCGACCAGAGAUGGAAGGAAUGCUUUUAUUAGAUCAAAACCAAUCGGCGGCGGGUACGUCCCGUCCGCCGUUCACCUUGGUGAUUCUGAAUGACUUUAGGUCGAUCGCACGGUCUCGUGCCAGCGACGCUUAUUUCAAAUGUCUGCCAUAUCAACUGUCCAUGGUAGGCUCCGCGCCUACCAUAGUUGUAACGGGUAACGGGGAAUAAGGGUUCAAUUUCAGAGAGGGAGCCUGAGAAACGGCUACCACAUCCAAGGAAGGCAGCAGGCGCGCAAAUUACCCACUCCCGGCACGGGGAGGUAGUGACGAAAAAUAACGAUACGGGACUCAUCCGAGGCCCCGUAAUCGGAAUAAGUACACUUCAAAUCCUUCAACGUGGAUCCAUUGGAGGGCAAGUCUGGUGCCAGCAGCCGCGCUAAUUCCAGCUCUAAGAGCGUAUAUGAAAGUUGUUGCGGUUAAAAAGCUCGUAGUUGAAUCUGUGUCCCACGCUGUCGGUUCACCGCUCGCGGCGUCUAACUGGCAUGGUCGUGGGACGUCCUACCGGUGGGCUUAGCUCUCUGGGUCGGCCCAACUGAUAACCCAUCGCGGUGCUCUUUACGGAGUGUCGAAUUGGGCCGGUACGUUUACUUUGAACAAAUUAUGGUGCACAUGGCAGGCUAUUUGCGCCUAAAUACUGUGUGCACGGAAUAAUGGAAUAGGACCUCGGUUCUAUUUUGUUGGUUCUCGGAACCCCGAGGUAAUGAUUAAUGUAGACGGAUCAGGGCAUUCGUAUUGCGACGUUGGAGGUGAGAUUCUUGGGUCGUCGCACGACGGACAGGAGCGAAAGCAUUUGACAAAAAUGAUUUCUCCAAUCAGAAACGAAACUUGGAGGUCCGGAGUCGAUCAGAUACCGCCUUAGUUCUGGCGAUAAACGAUGCCACCUGGCGAUCCGCCGAAGUUACUCGAAUGACUCGGCGGGCAGCUAUCGGGAAACCGAAGCUUUCGGGUUCCGAGAAAAGUAUGGUUGCAAAGCUGAAACUUAAAGGAAUUAACGGAAGGUCACCACCAGGAGUGGGGCCUGCGGCUCGAUUAGACUCAUUACAGGAAACCUCACUAGGCCCGGACACCAGAAGGAUUGACAGAUUAGGAGCUCUUUUUUGAUUCGGUGGGUGGUGGUGCAUGACCGUUCUUAGUUGGUGAAGCGAUUUGUCUGGUUAAUUCCGAUGACGAACGAGACUCUAGCCUGAUGAAUAGGCGUAUCUUCCGGUAUUUUUAAGGCCCCCGGCCUCGGUCGGGCGGUUUUUUAUCACCGGCGUACAAAUGAAUCUUCUCAGAGGAACCGCCGGCUUCUAGCCGCACGAGAUUGGGCAAUAACAGGUCUGUCAUGCCCUCAGAUGUUCUGGGCCGCACGCGCGCUACACUGAAGGAAUCAGCGUGUCUUCCCUGGCCGAAAGGCCCGGGUUACCCGCUGAACCUUCUUCGUGCUAGGGAUUGGGGCCUGCAAUUAUUGUUCCUGAACGAGGAAUUUCCAAUAAGCGCGAGUCAAGAGCUCGCGUUGAUUACGUUCCUGCCCUUUGUACACACCGCYCGUCGCUACUACCGAUUGAAUGAUUUAGUGAGGUCUUCGGACUGGUACGCGGCAAYGUCUCGGCAYUGCCGAUGUUGCCAGGAAGAUGACCAAACUUGAUCAUUUAAGGAAAGUGAGAGUCGUAACAAGGUUUCCGUAGGUGAACCUGCAAAAC